GCAGGACUCUGGGGCAGUCUCCUUCCUGUGAGCAGCCUGUCUGCAGGACACACAGCUCACACAGCUUCCACCUUCCUGGGUCUGACCUCGGAGCAUUCAGCAUCCUCUUCCCCUCCGUGCGCUUCCGACAGCGAGUCUGCUCAGGCGGGGAUCCCGGGGAAGCCAGAGGGUCCUGCCCCCCAACUUCUCAGCCUGGCCACUGCCUGGUCC